UGAAAAUAGGAGGAAAUAUCAGUACAGCACGGAUGCCUGCCCAUAUAUUUAUUUUGUGUUGGGUGUCUAAGAUACAUGAUGAUUAAAGGAUGUCCUAUAAAAAGACUGGCAGAGAUGAGAAAGCUGACAGCUCUCCAGAGGACCCUGGCUAAAGCUGCUGUGCAGAAGUCUGGAACGGCAAAGACCCGAUCCUGCAUGUAAUGAGACCAAACAGAAUUGGAAGGCCUUUCUCCACAGUGUGCUGGCAUGACAGUUUUGUGAUAGUCUCAAACUCCUCAGCACUAGCAUUGAUACUGUAUGCAAAACAGCUACUGAUAACAUCUGACUUCCUUGAUUAUUCAGCUGUAUGCUCAGGCUGGAACACUGCUGAACUGACUGUCCACACCCCCACCUUUCCCCAGGCUUUAUUGCUGCAGUUUAGGCUGACAUCAACAGCAGCUUUAUGGAAACCCCUCUUGGGGAUGACCGCACGUUCUGCAAAAUUGCCUCUACAGCAAAUAAAUAAAUAAAUAAUGCAUCCCA